rnacentral:rRNA from 1 species
UACGGGGGGGGCAAGCGUUGUUCGGAAUUACUGGGCGUAAAGGGCUCGUAGGCGGCCAACUAAGUCAGACGUGAAAUCCCUCGGCUUAACCGGGGAACUGCGUCUGAUACUGUAUGGCUUGAGUUUGGGAGAGGGAUGCGGAAUUCCAGGUGUAGCGGUGAAAUGCGUAGAUAUCUGGAGGAACACCGGUGGCGAAGGCGGCAUCCUGGACCAACACUGACGCUGAGUGAGCGAAAGCCAGGGGAGCAAACGGG